rnacentral:rRNA from 1 species
GCGUAUAGAAUCUGCCUUGUACAGGAGGAUAGCCUUUAGAAAUGAAGAUUAAUACUCCAUAAUAUUGAGAAGUGGCAUCGCUUUUUAAUUAAACAUUUAUGGGUACAAGAUGACUAUGCGUCCUAUUAGCUAGAUGGUAAGGUAACGGCUUACCAUGGCAACGAUAGGUAGGGGGUCUGAGAGGAUUAUCCCCCACACUGGUACUGAGACACGGACCAGACUCCUACGGGAGGGCAGCAGUGAGGAAAUAAUUGGUUCGAAUAGGAGGGCAACUCUGAACCACGCCACUGCCGCCGUGCA